rnacentral:misc_RNA from 1 species
UUUGGGUUAGUUAAUUGCGGUCGUGUAUGUGAAGUCCACUUUACCAACUUGUGGAAACUGUACACCAACAAAAAGGAAGCAGUAAUGUAUAGGGCCACAUAUCUUCCCAUGGGGAAAGAAAGCCUCUUGUAUUUUCUCUGGCUUUUCUUAUUGCUCUUGCAGAAUCUCAGUCUCAGUAUGACUGCACCUUUGAAACUGGCUAUUGCUCAUGGAUACAGGAUACCUCUGAUCAAUUCAACUGGAUUCGCACUCAAGGAACAACUAGAAAUCAAACUACAAGACCCACUGUAGAUCAUACUUUAGGCAACAAAAGUGGUUGGUACAUUCUUAUAGAAACAGCAGUUGUUCAAGGAACUAACAGUGCAGCACGCCUGAUAUCUCCACAGAUUCCAGCCAGCUCUCCAUACUGUCUGCAGUUCUGGUAUUACAUGUAUGGUGCUCAUGUUGAUGCACUCACGAUUUAUGUUCAUAGAGGAGGAAAUCCUGAUAUACCCCUGUGGACCAAAAGCCAGACUCAAGGCAGCCAGUGGAAGUAUGGGCAGGUGCAGCUUUCUUCUUUUUCCUACCCUGUCAACAUAGUGUUUGAGGCAGUCCGUGGGCCCUUCUUUAAGGGUGACAUUGGAAUAGAUGACAUCAGAGCUGUGGCAGGAAGCUGUCCUACCACAAGUGGCUUGGCAUGUGACUUCGAGGUAGGUUUGUGUGGAUGGGAUCAGAAGACGAAAGAUGAUUUUGACUGGACCCUACAUUCUGGUCAAACAGCUACUGUGAAUACUGGACCUUCUAAUGACCAUACUCUGGGUACCUCAUCAGGUCACUAUCUGUACAUAGAGACCAGCUCUCCCCAUUAUCUUGGACAAAAGGCUCACCUUGUCAGUUCCUUGGUAACCCAGACUACCCCACAGUGCAUGUUAUUCUUCUAUAGCCUCAAUGGGGACAAUGUUGGUGCCUUGAAUAUCUACAUAAUAUCUGGUGCUGAAUUAACAAGCAGUGAUAUUCCAGUAUGGUCAAAAAGACACAACUUGGGUGAAAUCUGGUUCCCAGGUCAAACAACCAUUCAGGGUUCUUCUUCCUACAGGGUUGUAUUUGAGGGAGUAGUUGGUGCAGGCAGUCUGGGCGACAUAGCUAUUGAUGACAUCAUUGUAAGGAAUGGUAGCUGCCACCAUCAAGCUAAUAACAACUUUGAGCAUGGCUUGGGACUAUGGACUAAUCCAGGUGUAGGGGAUAACUUUGACUGGAUGUUAGGACAGGCGUCAAUGGGUGCAACUUUUUCUGGACCAAGAAUUGACCACACACUGGGUACUUCAGAAGGACACUAUCUUUUCAUUGAAUCUUCCAAACCCAUACAAGCUGAAGACACUGUCUGGCUUCAGAGCCCUGUCAUGGAACCAAACGUGGCCCUGUGCAUGUCGUUUUGGUUUAUUAAAAAUAUUGAUGAUACAGAUGUCAUUAAUGUGCUGAUGCGACCUGCAACACCAGCUAACAAAUCUUCAAUCACAGUCUGGUCGCUCAAAGAUAGUGUGCCUACAGGUUGGAUGCAUGGUCGAAUAGAUCUUUACAACAGAGCUCCAUUUUAUAUCAUAAUUGAAGUUAUAAGAGGUGAAGAUGAUCAUGGUGUCACUGCACUUGAUGAUAUCUCAUUCACAGAAUCUGAGUGUAUGGCUGAUCCUUUUUAUGCUGGGGAUGCAUUCAGUCUACCCUCUAUUCCACAGCUGGCCACUACCACUCCAGGACACUUCAGAUGAUUUUGAUUGGACUAAGAGUACAGGAGCCACCUCAUUUCAAAAUACAGCACCAGCAUUUGACCACACAUUGGGAAAUGGCACAGGUUAUUACCUUUACAUUGAGACAUCACUACCACGUCGUGCUAAUGAUACAGCUCGCUUGUUGUCACCUAAGUUGAAUGUCAGUCCAAUGAAGCUUGUCUACGAUUCUGGUAUUUAAUGUAUGGUCCAUC